GCGGAUGGGUGAGUAACACGUGGGGAACCUGCCCCUCAGUCUGGGAUACCAUUUGGAAACAGGUGCUAAUACCGGAUAAUAAAGCAGAUCGCAUGAUCAGCUUUUGAAAGGCGGCGUAAGCUGUCGCUAAGGGAUGGCCCCGCGGUGCAUUAGCUAGUUGGUAAGGUAACGGCUUACCAAGGCGACGAUGCAUAGCCGAGUUGAGAGACUGAUCGGCCACAUUGGGACUGAGACACGGCCCAAACUCCUACGGGAGGCAGCAGUAGGGAAUCUUCCACAAUGGACGCGAGUCUGAUGGAGCAACGCCGCGUGAGUGAAGAAGGUUUUCGGAUCGUAAAGCUCUGUUGUUGGUGAAGAAGGAUAGAGGUAGUAACUGGCCUUUAUUUGACGGUAAUCAACCACAAAGUCACGGCUAACUACGUGCCAGCAGCCGCGGUAAUACGUAGGUGGCAAGCGUUGUCCGGAUUUAUUGGGCGUAAAGCGAGCGCAGGCGGAAAAAUAAGUCUAAUGUGAAAGCCCU
rnacentral:rRNA from 1 species